rnacentral:rRNA from 1 species
GGAUAGCCACUGGAAAUGGUGGGUAAUACCGUAUAAUCCCCGCGGGGGAAAGAUUUAUCGCUAUUAGAUGAGCCUAUGUCGGAUUAGCUAGUUGGUGGGGUAAUGGCCUACCAAGGCAGUGAUCUGUAGCUGGUCUGAAAGGAUGAUCAGCCACACUGGAACUGAGACACGGUCCAGACUCCUACGGGAGGCAGCAGUGGGGAAUAUUGGACAAUGGGCGCAAGCCUGAUCCAGCUAUGCCGCGUGAGUGAGGAAGGCCUUAGGGUUGUAAAACUCUUUCAGUAGGGAAGAUAAUG